GGCGCCAUAGCCAAGCGGUAAGGCACGGGUUUGCAAAACCCUGAUCGACGGUUCGAAUCCGUCUGGCGCCUCCA
rnacentral:tRNA from 1 species